UACGUAGGGUGCAAGCGUUGUCCGGAAUUAUUGGGCGUAAAGAGCUCGUAGGCGGUCUGUCACGUCGGAUGUGAAAAUCCAGGGCUUAACCCUGGACCUGCAUUCGAUACGGGCAGACUAGAGUUCGGUAGGGGAGACGUGGAAUUCCUGGUGUAGCGGUGAAAUGCGCAGAUAUCUGGAGGAAUACCGGUGGCGAAGGCGGCAUCCUGGACAGUGACUGACGCUGAGACGCGAAAGCGUGGGGAGCAAACAGGG
rnacentral:rRNA from 1 species